CAAAUUCCGUGUGUGUGGACGGCAAGAAAACGGAAAUACGAAAGACGCCGUCACAUUGUGCUGCAUUCGGUGGUGCACGACGCGGUACAACCACAACAAGGGAACUGGGAAUAACGUUUCAUAGUUUUUUAUGCACUUAAUUUCAAUGUCCAUGGAUUGCCUUUGAUUAAAAAAAAACGUCGCCCCUGCAACAUGGCCACAACGUAGGCACGUCGGUUGGCGUCGUCAUUUUCAGUGACGUCGUAGCAUCAUGGCGGCUUCCGUGGCUCGACGCUGUUCUUCUUUUUGCGGGAAUGUCCGCGCUCGCUUAACGGUGAUUCCGCAGCCGGUAAAACGUCAGUGUGUUCAAACGAGUCUACAGCCGAACGCUGCUUAUGUGACCCGAGGGUCACACAAUGGGCAGGAUGCCCAAGUAUACAUUCCAGUAGACCGUCUGACCGUGUCUUACAGUAGAAGCGGUGGUCCCGGUGGUCAGCAUGUCAAUAAAGUCAACACGAAAACAGAGAUCCGAUUCCACGUGUUAACUGCAGACUGGAUCCCAGAAGACGUGCGACAGAAAAUCCUGGAAAAGAACAAAAAUCGAAUCAACAAGGCUGGCGAGUUGUUGGUGACCUCCGAGCUGAGCAGGAGCCAGCGCAGAAACGUCAGCGACUGCUUCCAGAAGAUCUCAGCCAUUAUUGCUGAAGCUCGCGAGAAACCGCACGAGGCCACGCCAGAAGAGAUCGCCCUCAGGAAAUCGAGAUCAUCAAGCAGUGCGUCUGCAAAGAUCAGACAAGACCGUUUUGAAGACGUCGACGACGACAAGGUAGCCGUGACGUUGGGGCUGCAGAGGAUCCUAGAAUAACCCUUCCAGCAGUGCAUCAACGUGUGGCAAGUUUUGAUUUGAAAUAUAGCUUUUUGGGCACACCUCGUAUGAAGAAGUUAGGAGAUUAUUGUCACAUAUACUAAAUACCAGGACUUGCCAGACAUUUCUGCAGCUUCUUCAAUCAGAAUCAGAAUCAUCUUUAUUUUGGGGAAAAAAAAAAAAAAACACACACACACACAAGGAAUUUGUCUCCGGUAGUUGGAGCCGCUCGAGUACGACAACAGACGAUGAUGUUGGUCGCCCGCUUAAGGUCCUGAGAGCCUGUAAUUCCCGGGAACCUGAAGGUCUCGACGGUUGACACAAGGCAGCCGGACAACGUGAGGGGCAGCUGCGGCGAAGGAGGCCUCCUGAAGUCCACGAUCAUCUCGACAGUCUCGAGCGUGUUCAGCUCCAGGUUGCGUCGGCCGCACCGCAGCUUCCCGUCGAUACGCAGACUCGUCACCGUCUUUGAUCAGGCCGAUGACAGUGGUGUCAUCUGCGAACAUCAGAAGUUUGACGGGCAGGUGCGUUGAGGUGCAGUUGUUCGUGCAGAGAGAGAAGAGCAGCGGAGAGAGGACACGACCUCGGGGCGCCCCAGCGUCCUUUUCAAAUCUGCAGUCGAAGGUUGGACAAGAGAAACAAAGAGAGAAUCCGACAGAAGAAGAUCCAUUCUGCUACUAAACAGAGCAGGCGACUGGA